rnacentral:rRNA from 1 species
UACGGGGGGAGCAAGCGUUGUUCGGAUUUACUGGGCGUAAAGGGCGCGUAGGCGGUCAGCACAAGUCAGUUGUGAAAUCUCCGGGCUUAACUCGGAACGGUCAAGUGAUACUGUCGUGCUAGAGUACAGAAGGGGCAACUGGAAUUCUCGGUGUAGCGGUGAAAUGCGCAGAUAUCAGGAGGAACACCCGUGGCGAAAGCGGCUCUCUGGGACGGUACUGACGCUGAGACGCGAAAGCGUGGGGAGCAAACAGG